CCAAAUCAAUAUAUACGAUAACUUCAUAGCUGGACUCAUCUCUUCAUCAAUUCUUCAAUAUCAGACUUCCAUAGUUGGAUUCAUCUUCCUCUUCAUCAAUUCUUCAAUAUCAGACAAUUAGAUAGUUGGAUACAUCUUCUCUUCGUUGUAUAAAUCUUCAAUUGGUUGUUGGAUAUAUCUUCAAUCGGUUGAAUCGGUUGAAGAUAGUUGGAUGCAUCUUCAAUCGGUUGUUCAAGUAAAAGACACUUCGGUUUGGUUUGUAUCGGUUCAACCUCUCUUGGUCUACUAAUAUUCUUCUCCAUUCAAUUCGGUUUGUAUCGUUCCCUACAACAGCCUCUUUGUCAAGGUCAGCAAAAUGUUCUAGCAUUUCUUUUUUGCUUUCUUCUUAUCACCUCAUUUUCUCUUUGUUUUCCUUGAUACGAAUUUCACUAAGUUCAUUAUUUUGUUUAUAGUUGACUUGGGUAAUUCCUUGAACUGUUGGUUGUGUAAUUUCGUAGAAGUUUUUGGAUUGUGAUGGGAUUAAGAGUUGUAAAUAACAAAAAUGGGAUUUAGGGUUAUAUUGAAAUUGUUCAAUUUUACCGUUGCUUGUGUAAUUUUGUAGAAUUGUUGGCUGUUAGUUUAAUUUAGAUAUAGUACGUGACCUGUUUUGUUUGAAUUUUAUACCAAUAGGAUAUUUCUAGAAGCUGUUCAUACUAAUGUAUAAUUUUCUCUUUUUCCCGUUUGAGAUUUAUGUUUCUAGAACUUGUACCUUACCUGCUAUCUUCUCAUAACUGUGUCUCAAGAGUUGAGACACUAUUAAAGACUAUAAUAGUCUUGUGGGCAGGUAGGGAUAGAUAAGCAUGAAUUCUUUAUUUUUCUAUUGUUUUGGACGAUAUAUUUUUUUUUCAUGUAUUACUCUUUUUAGUGAACAUCAUAGCCUAGAAUCAUAUGCUGGGAUGAUAUAAACAGAUGAUACUUCUGAUGUUUUGACUGUUUACUUACUACGAAGUUGCAUAAAGAGGUCUUAUGUUUCAGGUUCUUCCUAUUCUUUCCCUUGAAUAUAUUUUGUACCUUCAGUAGUACCCUUGCAUAGGGAGGUGUGGAGGAUGCAGAUUAGGGUAGAAGGUUAGGGGAUGGGAGUGCGUCGGUAAUAGUAGGGGGCGUUCUUUAUUUGUUUAUGAAGUUUCUUAUGCGUGGGUGGAGUGUUGUCUAUGGUUUCGGAUAUAUAACUUUAGUAGUAUCUUGUGGCUCUAGUUUUAUCUUGUGGCUAGCGUUGUUAGUUUAUUUUGCCUGUACAAGUUUAUAUGCAUUUAUGUUAUGGUUGCUAUACUGUUAUUGGUUCUAAGCCGGGGGUCUAUCGGAAAUAGCCUCUCUACUUCACCUGAGGUAGUGGUAUGGUCUGCGUACACUCUACCCUUCCCAGACCCCACUAGGUGGGAAUACCCUGGGUAUGUUGUUGUUGUUGUUGUAGUAUCUGGGCCAGUUUGCGCGCACCUCAACUAAAUCCACAUGAUACCUGCCACCUCUCACCAGCAACAAGUACCAGGUAUCUCUAUCCACUAAGGCUAGAACAGAAGGGAAGAAAACACCUAGUGUUUGUCUCUGUUGGGAAUUGAACCUGAGACCUCAUGGUGCUCAUUUCAACUUCAUUGAACCACUAGGCCACAUCUUUAGGUGCUUCAAGAACAUUGUUAGCAAAGGUGGAAAGAAGUAUUACAUUUCUUUUGUUGAUGACUUUUCUAGGUACACUAAGGUAUACCUCCUUUAAGUCUAAAGAUGAGGCUGAAAGCAUGUUUUUAAAAUUCAAAAUAGAAGUAGAAAAUCAAUUAGACAGAAAAAUCAAGAGAUUUAGAUCUGAUAGAGGCGGUAAAUAUAGUACUAAAACUCUAGAAGAUUUUUGUGAGAAAAAUGGCAUUAUCCAUGAGUUUGGUACUCCAUAUACUCCCCACCAAAAUGGUGUAGCCGAAUGAAAAAAAUAUAACCCUUAAGGAAAUGAUGAAUUCUAUGCUUUUAAGCUCGGGUCUACUAGACUAUAUGUGGGGGGAAGCUGCCUUAUCUGCAUGCUUCAUAACAGAGUCCCUCAUAAAAUGUUAGACAGGAUCUCGUGGAAAGGGUUUACUCCUAACUUGAUAUGAAUCAGCCCACAAAGGUCUCAAAAUAAUCCACAAAUCACAAGAAAACAACUAGACAACACAUACAAAGACAAGACUCAAAACGGCUACAAGAUGCAAUAAGCUUAAAAGGAAGAAUUGAUAGAUAAUUUGACAUAAAGUAUCAUGAAUGUUAGAAAUUAAAGAGUUUCUCAAACUCUAAAAGCCCUAAAAUGAUGUAACUAACACCAAGUUCUUACUUGAAUCCAAAAGGGACUCGGUUCACCUCAAGAACUCAAGUUUCUAGCCAAUGAACAACACAUGUGAAAUCCUCACUUGUAAAACCCUAAUUUCGGUGGUCUACUCUUCAAGAGAGAGGAAUGGUGUUUCAAAAUAUUACAAACUCAAUAAUAAGCUAAGGAAAUAAGACUAAGGAAAUCCUAUUUAUAGUCUAUGACAAAAGAGAUGGGAAAUGACCCCUCUACCCUAAAUAAAGGGGCGGGUUUGGAGUGUAAUGGGGCUUCCUUGGCUGUUUUAAAACACUUAAGGCAUUUCUUUAUACUUCAAUACAUACACUUCCUUGGAUGGACUUAAGACAUGCUUAAACACAUCCAUCUUCAUGAACGUGCCUUGAAGGCUUUGUAGUUCCCGAGCUUGGCUCCUAGGGAAUGGUCUCGAGCCCUUGAUUCCCGUAUCAUCCUCUCUAUCUUGAAAGGAGUUUGACCUCAAACUCACGGCUUUAUCAUCUUCAAUUGUAUCAAUACGUGAAAGGUCACACACGUUGGACGUGUUAUGUACUUAGUAUUCUGGAGGGAGGUCCAUCUUGUACGCAUUAUCAUUGAUCCUUUCAAGCCCUUGAAAAGGAACAUCACCUCUCGGCAUUAACUUAUCCUUCCUUUGGGUUGGAAAUCGAUCUUUCCUAAGGUGUAACCACACCCAAUCUGUCGGUUCCAACACAAGUCUUCUUCUCCCCUUGUUGUCUCUUUUAGCAACUUCUUAGUUCUUUUUCUAAAGCCUUAGCCGCACUCUUUCAUGUAACUUCUUCAUCACGUCGACCCUUUUGUUUCUAUCUAAGCUCAAUAUAAGAUCACUAGACAAAGAAGUUAAAUCCAAAGGGGUAAGGGGGUUUAGGCCGUACACACAUUUAAAGGUAGUCAUACCCGUACUUGAAUGGAUAACACAAUUGUAAGCAAACUUAACUAAGGGUAGGUGAUCCUCCUAAGAAGCCAUUUAUCUUUAACCAUGGAUCGUAGCAUAGAACCUAGGUUCUGUUUACUAUUUUCAUUUGGCCAUCGGUUUAUGGGUGGCAAGAGGUGGAGAACAACAACUUCAUACCAAGCCUACCCCACAUCGACUUCCAAAAGUGACUAAGGAACUUUGAGUCCCUAUCACUAACAAUGGUCCUCGGAAUGCCAUGUAGCUUAACAACAUGUUGAACAAACAACGAAGCUACACUAGAAGCAUCCUCACUUUUAGAGCAUGGAAUGAAAUGUGCCAUUUUGGAGAAUCGGUCAACCACCACAAAUAUGCUAUCCCUACCUUUUUUUGUCCUUGGCAGCCCCAAAAUGAAGUCCAUAGAUAUGUCAAGCCAAGGACGUAAUGGGGUGGGAAACGGGGUAUACAAUUCUUGAGGGAGGAGGCGGGAUUUGGCACUCCUACAAUCCAUACAUUGGUCGCAAACCUUAGUAACAUCUUUGCGCAUCUUUGGCCACUAGAAUUGUUCCUCCAAAAUUUUGAGGGUCUUCUCAACCCCAAAGUGGCCCAUUAAAACCACCAUCAUGUGCCUCUCACAAACAAUUCUCUCCAUGAACUGGAGGGCAUAAAUAAUCGUCUUUCCUUAAAAAGUAGCCAUCAAAUUUAGAAUAGGAGGGGGAAUUCCUAUCCAUGAGCCACCUUUCCCUAGCCAACUCUUUAAAUUCCCUAAAUAUAGAAUCACGAUAAAGGUCCGAUAUAAUGACUUGAGGCUUUCAAAUCCCAUCAACUUGGAAGACAAGGUAGCAACAAGUACAUGUUUCCUAGACAAUGCAUCGACAACUAUAUUUUCCUUACCCCUUUUUGUAUUGAAUGACACACGAGAAGGUUUCUAGGAAUUCAAUCCACUUAGAAUGCCACUUGUUCAACUUGUCUUGGGCCCGAAGAUGUCCCAAAGAUUCAUAAUCCGUCUGGAUCACAAACUUUUUGGGCCACAAGUAGUGUUGCCAAUUACCCAACUCUUUGGGCCACAUGUUUCCUAGACAAUGCAUCGGCAACUACAUUCUCCUUACCCCUUUUUGUAUUGAAUGACACAAGGAAAGGUUUCUAGGAAUUCAAUCUACUUAGCAUACCGCUUGUUUAACUUAUCUUGGGCCGGAAGAUGUUUCAAAGAUUCAUGGUCCGUUCGGAUCACUACUCUUUGGGCGUACAACUCUAGAUCAUAAGUGGAAUAAUUUAGCGUCGCACCCUUGAGCCUUUCACUAAAGUAGGCAAUGGGUUUAAGAUCUUGCAUAAAAAAAACCCCUAUACCUACUUUACUAGCAUCACAUUCAACUUCAAAUAUUUUAUCAAAGUUGGGCAAUUUUAAUAAAGGGGCGGAGACGAGCAUAGCUUUCAAGGUCUCAAAGGCCUUAGCUUGUUUAUUACCCCACUUAAAUGGUUGUUCUUUUUGAAUGACUUCGGUCAAAGAGGCUAUAAUGGUGCUAAAACUUUUGAAAACCCGUCUAUAAAAACUAGCCAAUCCGUGGAAACUUUGGACCUCUCCAAUGGACUGUGGAGUUGGCCAAUUUUUAAUAGCGUCUAUCUUGGAUUCAUCCAUCUCGACCCCUCUUGAAAUAACGACAAAACCCAAGAAAACAACUUCAUUAACACCAAAGGAACACUUCUCAAGAUUAGCAUACAAUUGCUCAUUUCUAAAGACAUCAAAGACACUUUGCAAAUGCAACACAUGUUCUUCCAUGAACUUACUAUAGACAAAAACAUCAUCAAAAUACACAACAACAAACUUUCCAAUGAACGGUUUCAUCACACGAUUCAUUAACCGCAUGAAAGUACUAGGAGCAUUAGUUAGGCUGAAUGGCAUGACUAUUCAUAGAGACCAAAUUUGGUCUUGAAGGCGGUCUUCCAUUCAUCACCGGGUUGCAUUCUAAUUUGGUCAUAGCUACUCUUAAGGUCAAUCUUGGAAAACACACAAGAACCAUUCAACUCAUCAAGCAUGUCAUCUAAUCUAGGAAUGGGGUGAUGAUAUUUUACCGUAAUCUUGUUGAUGGCUCGACAGUCCACAGACAUACGCCAAGUUCCAUCCUUCUUUGGCACUAAUAAUACCAUGGACUCAUGCUCUUUUUGAUGCAUCCUUUGUUGAAAAGUUCCUCAACUUGCCGUUGUAGCUCUUUGGUGUUCGUAGGGUUACUUCUAUAGGCCGAUUUGUUUGGCAAUUGUGAUCCUAGCACGAAGUCAAUUUGAUGCUCAAUGCCCUGAAGUAGGGGUAACCCUUGCGGUAACUCAUUAGGAAAGACAUCAUCAAAUUCCUGCAAACCAUUAGAAAUAAAAGGGGGAAUGGAGGAAGUAGAAAGGUUAGUGUCAAAAAACAUGUGCUAGGAGAAGCAUAGGUGUGGUGUCAUCAUACUCUUUGAAGAGAUCCCUCUUCUUAGCCAACAUUACCAUAGCUUCCUUACCUUUCAAAGUUGGAACUCCCUCGACUCCCUCACCCUUCCCACCCUCGACCUCACUUACCCCACUCUCCGGUUCCCUUUUUUUUCUUCCCUUUCCCUUCAAUCCCUUCAUUUAUUGAUGAGCCUCACACACUUGUGAUGGUGGAAGUGGAUGGAGGGUGAACUUUUGGCCCUUGAACUCAAAAGAAUAAUGGUUGGUUAGACCAUUCUGCUUGGUAGACCUAUCAUAUUGCCAUGGUCGACCCAAUAACAAGUGACAAGCUUGCAUGAGAAUGAUAUCACAAAGUACUUCAUCUUCAUAGUUUCCCACCUUAAACCGAAUCACUAUUUGCUGGGUUACCUUCAAUUCUCCACACUCGUUCAACCAUUGGAGCUUAUACGGACUUGCAUGUAGAGUAGUAGUAAAUUUCAAGUAGUCCACCAUUGCGGCACUAGCAACAUGGCACAACUUCCACUAUCAACAAUUAAGGAACACACACUCCCCACUUGGUAUGAAAGAGGUUCUCUCUUUGGCUUGGAUCAUCCAAUGCCUUACUAAUCAUAACUCUCCGUACCACGAAAUUAGGUACUUCAAGUUCACCACCUUGAGGCCAAGUAUAUUCCUCAUCACAAUCACUAGGCUUUUCGGCCUCUCUUCCCUCUCCUUCUUGAGAGCCUUCAUCAUUCUAAAUCGUUUCAAUUCCCACUUCUUACCCCAAGAAAUACAAUUUUCCUUCCCUUAGGAUUACAUUCCUCUGGUUUGGACGCUCACCAACCUUGUGUCCCCACCCUUGGCAUUUGAAACUUUGAAACCCCUUGGAAGUGGAAGUAGUAUUUGGUUUACCUUCAUUCCUUGGAGGUUGAUGUUGGGCAGCCUUGGUCACGGGUUGGGGGGCAUGGGAUGGAGGAGGUUUGAGAUUGUUCCACCCUGAAGAAGAUUGAUUUACCUCUUUACCUUGGGUAUUACUCGAGGACCCUUGAUAACCCUUGGUCUUGUAUGCUGACCUCUCUUUAUUCUCUCUUUCAAUCUUUAAAGACGCUUGAAAGAUCCCUUCAAUAGUUUCAAACCUAUGAAGAGUCAUGUGAGUGUAUAUUUCUUUGUUUAGGCCAACCUUAUGUAUGAUGUCGUGGACCACUUGAUCCCUUUGAUGAUAAAGUUUCAAAAUGAGGUGUUGAAACUCAUCAUAGUAAGCCACUACACUUUUGUUACCUUGCUUCAAGUUAUACAACUUGGCAAGGAGCUCAUGUUGGUAGCUUUCAGGUAAAUACCUUUUCCUCAUAAAGUAUCUUAACCAUACUGAAACCAAAAAGGGGGUUGCCCCUCAAUCAAGACAUUUCCAAAACGCUUAACAUACUCCCACCAUGUAGUAGCAUAACCUUCAAAGUGAGCAAUUGUAUAACAACUCUUUUUCUCCUUGGUAAGAUCAUUUACUUGGAAGACCCUCUCACAUGCGGAUUCCCAUGCAAGAAAAUCUUCGGGAUCACUCUCACCCUUAAAGAUUGGAAGCCCCACCUUGAUGGUAUUUAAGCCUACAUCACGGUUUUGGUUCCCAUGUUGGUUCCAUUGACCAAUUCUCCCUUCUCGGCCUUGAUCAUCCCUUGGAUCAUCAUGUCUCCCUCUCAUCUCCCCCUCCCAUGUAAUCAUCAUCAUACGACCUAUAUCCCUCAUGUUGUUCUCCUCCACCAUACCCCUCUACAUGGACGGCUCUAUUUGGGUUAAGGGGAGCUUUUAGUGGUGGAUUGGAUUUGGUGGAAAGGGAGGCCUUUGGUUACGUGGAGUUUGGAUUGGAUGGCUGAGGUUUUGGGGUGGUAUUUGGGAUCUAUCCUUCUUGUUGGACUUGGUGAAGUGGAGGGUGGCUUGAUCUAUCAUGAUCACAGCUUUGGGAAUAAAGGUUGGUUUGAUUGGUGGCAAUUGGUGGUUGUCUUGGGGGAUUGAACAUUUAGUGCAAAGUUUCGGGAGUAAUGGUUGGUGAAGUGUUUUGAGGAGUAGAAGGUUGGGAACUCCUUUGGCUUUCCACUCGUUCUAACCUCCCACCUAUUGAUGCCACAUUCGAAUCUAAUUUUUCAAGACCCGUACUCAUCCUAGCCAUGUCUCGGGAAAUAGUAUCAAGGCGGGCCAAAAUGACAUUGGUGACAUUGUUGUCCAGGGCUUGAGAAGUUGAAGCCUCUUCCAUUGCAAUGGUACCUAAAGACAAACCUACAAAACAAAACACAAGUUAGUUCAAGCAACCUCAACACACUCUCAUACUUGAUUUCUCAAGUGUUGUAAACCGGCUAGCAACCUGUGAGAACUUGAGGGUGAGUCUACUCUUUGGUUGGAAUGGAUUUUUGGUUCGAAGACUCAAAAGAAGUAUUGUGCGUGCUUGAAUCAAGAAUGGCUACGAUUUAUAAACGAGAAAAGCACAAAACAAUGCUAACACAAAGAAUGCAUUCAAAGACUAAUUUACAACUUAGUAGGUAUUUACUAGUUGCCAAUUAGUAUAAGAAUCAACAAAGUUGAAACCAAUGGAAACAAAAAAGAGAAACUAGAAAUUCCAAAAUUUUGAGCCUUUGGAUGACGUGGAAGCCAAUUAUUGGUCGUUGAAAUGUUGUUGAAGUUGAAGAAAACUUAUUCUAAGAAUUUAGUUGUUCAAUCUCACAAUUGGAAGAGGAAGUUUCGGAGAUAUGUGUAGGUAUACAAGGUUUUAGACCCUUCUUUCAAGAUUCAAAAGCUUUUCACCUACUUGUACUCUUUUGGCAAGACAACCUUUUUGGAAGUCUUGUCCCCUUUUCUAUUUUGGUCUACCUAGAAAAGUGGUCUUACUCCUUUUUAGUAACUAGACCUUUUGGAUGUUUCUUGUUCUUUUACUACUUUAAUGAUGUCUUGAAAUUGUUUCCAAGAAAAAUAGAAAGUCUCUUCUUUUCUUGUUUCAAGAUCAAACACCCCUUUUUGAAGCUACUUUUUCACCACAACAAGAUGAACAUCAAGAACAACAAGAAGAACCGUCCACAACCUUCAACAACAACUUGAAAAUUAGCUCAAAACUUGGAUCUAAACACUAUAAGUGUUAGGGAGAAAGAAUCUAACAGAAGAAACAUCAAAACACAUAAAAACACACCUAGAUCUAAGUCUAAGCCUCGGCCAAGACUUAAGAACAACUAUUAUUUUUUUUUGUUUUAAUUUUCAAGUGAACUAGCCCAAUAUUGGUUCCAUAGGAAUGAAACCAACCACAAGCUCUGAUAUCAAAUGAUAUGAAUCAGCCCACAAAGGUCUCAAAAUAGUCCACAAAUCACAAGAGAACAACUAUACAACACAUACAAAGACAAGACUUAAAACAGCUACAAGAUGCAACAAGCUUAAAAGGAAGAAUUGAUAGAUAACUUGACAUGAAGUAUAUAUGAAUGUUAGAAACUAAAGAGUGUCUCAAACUCUAAAACCCCUAAAAUCAUGUAACUAACACCAAGUUCUUACUUGAACCCAAGAGGGACUCAGUUCACCUCAAGAACUCAAGUUUCUAGCCAAUGAACAACACAAGUGAAAUCCUCACUUGUGAAACCCUAAUUUCGGUGGUCUACUCUCCAAGAGAGAGGAAUGGUGUUUCAAAAUAUUACAAACUCUAUAAUAAGCUAACUAAGGAAAUAAGACUAAGGAAAUCCUAUUUAUAGUCUAUGGCAAAAGAGAUGGGAAAUGACCCCUCUGCCCUUAAUGUAGGGGCGGAUUUGGAGUGCAAUGGCUGCCUUGAGUGUUUUAAAACACUUGGGCAUUUCUUCACACUUCAAUACAUACACUCCCUUGGACGGACUUAAGACAUGCUCAAACACAUCCAUCUUCAUGAACGUGCCUUGAAGGCUUUGUAGUUCCCGAGCUUGGCUCCUAGUGAAUGGUCUGAGCCCUUGAUUCCCGUAUCAUAUCUUGAAAUUUUUGAAAGUGUGGGGGUGUUUGACUAAGGUUGGUCUACUUGAUUUUAAACGGGUAAAUGUAGGCUCUAAGACUUUUGACACUGUCUUUAUUGGUUAUUCUCAAAAUACUGCUGCAUAUAGAUUUAUGUCAUUAAAUGAUUAUUCUAUUUGUGAAUUUGUACAUGUAGAAUUUUUUAGCAUGUUUUUCUUUAAAAAUAAUGUGCCUAUUGAUGUGUGAAAUAAUACUUAGGUCUGUUAACUCUCAUUUCAUGCCUGCAUCUGAUGUUAUUACUAAUGAGCAUGAAAAUGAACUUAGAAAGAGUAAAAGAUGUAGAACUGAGACUAGUUUUGGUCCUGAUUUUAUCACCAUCUUCUUAACUGAGGGUUUUGAUGUCGAUACUUUAAAUAAUAAAUUAGUAUCUAUCUACAUAAUAGAAGAAGACCAUAAGACUUAUGAUGAAACAAUCAGUUCAAUAGAUGCGAUGUUUUGGAAGGAGGCUAUUAAAAGUGAAUUAGAAUCAAUAUUCUCUAAUCACACUUGGGACUUGUAUGAUUUACCUAAAGUUUGUAAACCCAUAAGUAGCAAAUGGAUAUUUACGAAGAAAUUGAGGCCCAACGACAUAAUUGAUAAAUAUAAGGCUAGAUUUGUGAUUAGAGGUUUUAGCCAAAAGAAAGGUAUUGAUUAUUUUGAUACUUAUUCUCUUGUGACUAAAAUAGUGACCCUUAGAACUCUUAUUGAUCUAGCCAACUCUUAUUGCUUUAGCCGCUAUUUAUAGUUUAGUGGUAUGCCAAAUGGAUGUCAAAGCUGCAUUUUUAAAUGGCGAUUUCGAGGAAGAGAUUUAUAUGACUCAACCUGAGGGUUUUGUUAUCCUAGGACAAGAGGAUAAAGUAUGCAAAUUAAGAAAAUUCUUAUAUGGACUUAAGCAGGCAAACCUAAGCAGUGGUAUGAAAAAUUUAGUUUCACAUUAAUGGAAAUGACUUUGUUGUUAAUUCAUCUAAUACUUGUGUUUAUUCUAAAAUGAUAGGAUCAAAUUGUGUGAUUAUAUGUUUAUAUGUGGAUGACAUAUUAAUCUUUGACCCUAAUGUGAAUGUUGUAAAUGAGACUAAGAAAUUUUUAUUUUCUAAAUUUGAAAUGAAAGAUCUUGGAGAAACUGACGUGAUUUUAGAAAUUGUUUUGUGUCAGUCUCAUUAUAUUGAAAAGAUGUUGAAAAGGUUUGACUGUUUUGAUGUAGUUUCAGUGAGAACUCCUUAUGAUCUUAGCAUACAUUUGAAAAAGAAUGAAGAUUUCAGUGUUUCUCAAGCUGAAUAUGCUAAAUAAUUGGGAAUGUAAUGUUUCUUAUGAACUAUACUCGGCCUGAUAUAGCUUAUGCUGUUAGUAGAUUGAGUAGAUAUACUCAUAAUCCUAAUAGUGAACACUGGAAUGCUCUUCAUUGCUUGUUAAGGUAUCUGACAGGUACUAUAGAUUGGUGUUUGCAUUUUAAUAAAUUUCCUACUAUUUUAGAAGGUUUUUGUUAUGUAAACUAGGUGACUGACAAUGAUGAAGUUAGCUCUACCAGUGGUGAUGUGUUUACUUUGGAUGUAGGUGUUAUUUUAUGUAGACUUGUAUAGCACGUUUUACCAUGGAAUCUGAAUUCAUUGACCUCAAGUUGGCAGGGCAAGAAGCUGAGUGACUGAGAAACCUUUUGACAGAGCUGCCUUUAUGUGGAAGACAAGUGUCACCAGUCUCUUUACAUUAUGACUCACAGGUGGCAAUUGAUAUUGCUAAAAAUAGUGCAUACAAUGGAAAAAAGAGAUAUUCGCAUCAGACAUGGUGUAAUUAAACAAUUGUUGAAACAUGUGUUAUUUCCUGGAAUAUGUAAGGCCCUAAAGAAAUUUGGCGGAUCCU
rnacentral:lncRNA from 1 species